CCUUGAUCUAAGAGUGUUUUGUCAAGCUCCCUCAAGGCUUAAGAGGAUCUAAGAUUAGGUUGUUCCACCCAAAUCACAUUCCUCAUGAGUGCAGCAGGGGUGAAAACUCUGUCCUGCAAAUCCACUGAAGCACAUCACAGGCGGGGAAACACACCUGAGUGAAGCCAGCUGCGGAACGUAAGGCUGCAGUUCUGCUUGUCGAAUGGGAAGGCGUACAUUUCCAGGCUGCAGGCCAGCACCACCUGCAUGGGCCGGUAGUUCUUCACUGAGCCAGAGGAGUUGACGUACACAUAGGGGAUCGGAGGGGACUUCCCUUCAUCCACACUGGUGAGACACGUGAAGGAGAGGGGACGAAAGCUCAGCCACGAUAACAUCAGGUAUCCAGAUGGCAUCAGACGGCAGAGAGAUCUCCGUGAUACCAUCAAACUCCUCUGGGUCCCACACCAGGAACUCAUCUGUCCAGAUCUGCAAACAGAGGAAAGUUCAGACGACCUCGUCUGUUCUGCUGAGGACUAAUGAAGGUGCUGAUGUGGAAGAAGCCCGAUGGAGCUAAAUGAACCUGAAGGCUCCCUCACGCUGCUUUUACGUGACAUCCUACUGAAGAAGACAAAGUUCCCAAAGACAGGAAGUACAAAUAGUUUUUUUUAAAAUGAACCUGGAGAAACAUGUACAAAUUAUAUAUCAAUCCUGUGUGAUGAACUCACACCCUGUAGAUAGUUUAUAUAUAGUUAUUAAUAUAUAAGAGGCUUAAAAUAAGUCAAG